rnacentral:rRNA from 1 species
GAUGAACGCUGGCGGCGUGCUUAACACAUGCAAGUCGAACGGUGAAGGCGGAGCUUGCUCUGCUGGAUCAGUGGCGAACGGGUGAGUAACACGUGAGCAAUCUGCCCCUGACUCUGGGAUAAGCGCUGGAAACGGCGUCUAAUACUGGAUACGAGCUGCGAAGGCAUCUUCAGCAGCUGGAAAGAACUUCGGUCAGGGAUGAGCUCGCGGCCUAUCAGCUUGUUGGUGAGGUAACGGCUCACCAAGGCGUCGACGGGUAGCCGGCCUGAGAGGGUGACCGGCCACACUGGGACUGAGACACGGCCCAGACUCAUACGGGGGGCAGCAGUGGGGAAUAUUGCACAAUGGGCGACAGCCUGAUGCAGCAACGCCGCGUGAGGGACGACGGCCUUCGGGUUGUAAACCUCUUUUAGCAGGGAAGAAGCGAAAGUGGCGGUACCUGCAGACAAAGCGCCGGCUAACUACGUG